rnacentral:rRNA from 1 species
UGGGGAAUAUUGGACAAUGGGCGCAAGCCUGAUCCAGCAAUGCCGCGUGAGUGAUGAAGGCCUUCGGGUUGUAAAGCUCUUUCGCACGCGACGAUGAUGACGGUAGCGUGAGAAGAAGCCCCGGCUAACUUCGUGCCAGCAGCCGCGGUAAUACGAAGGGGGCUAGCGUUGUUCGGAAUUACUGGGCGUAAAGGGCGCGUAGGCGGUACUUCAAGUCAGGCGUGAAAGCCCCGGGCUCAACCUGGGAACCGCGCUUGAGACUGGAGAACUAGAGUUCGGGAGAGGAUGGUGGAAUUCCCAGUGUAGAGGUGAAAUUCGUAGAUAUUGGGAAGAACACCGAUGGCGAAGGCAGCCAUCUGGACCGACACUGACGCUGAGGCGCGAA